UUGUCAUUUUUGGCUAAAGGCAGUAAACUGUAAAGUAAUUAAUAAAUUUACCAGCAGAUAACGAUAACGUUUUUACUGUCGCAAAGGUUACCAUGCAAGAAAGUGCAAUUGGUAGGUAAAUUGGAUAACAGAUAAAGAUCUAAAUAAGUCAAAUGCGGAUCCAACUUAAUAUGGUGGAAUGGUGGUUCUAUGCAAGUCUGAUUUAUUUUUAAUCACUGUAUCUACCUACCUAUAGUAAAAAAACCACUUAAGAGAUGUACAAAGGCUGGUGAUGAAGUGGUUUUGCUUGGUGAUUUAGGAUAUGCUCCAUGCGCCUGCCUAAUGACACCAGUGAGUGGUACCGAAGAUAAUUCCCCAGAAGCACUCAUAUUCUGCAAACUAUAAAUCAAACAUUUUACAUCUCCAUGUAUGUACCUAAAAGAAUAAUAAGUGUGGAUAUGUACAAACUUUCAUUAAAAUUUUUGUUUUAUCUUAAUUAUUUUGAAUAAUAAAA